UACAGAGGGUGCAAGCGUUGUUCGGAAUUAUUGGGCGUAAAGGGCGCGUAGGCGGUGCGGUAAGUCUCUAGUGAAAUCUCCGGGCUCAACUCGGAGCCUGCUAGGGAAACUGCCGUGCUUGAGUGUGGGAGAGGUGAGUGGAAUUCCCGGUGUAGCGGUGAAAUGCGUAGAUAUCAGGAAGAACACCCGUGGCUAAGGCGGCUCUCUAGUACGGUACUGACGCUGAGACGCGAAAGCGUGGGGAGCGAACAGG
rnacentral:rRNA from 1 species